AUCAGACUUCCAGAAUGUUAGGGCUGAAAGAUCAUUGCAUCCGAAUGCCCUCCACCGCUCACUUGUGGGACCUGAGGUGCAGAGAGGAGAGGAUGAGUGAAUGCAGAUACAUCCAAGGUGGCACCGAAGAGGGUUUUAGGUGAUACAUGGACAAACAUUUUGUUAUUGUAAUAGCUAUAUUUAAACAGACUGUACUGUUGCUUAGGCUGAGGCUAAAUUUAUUUAAGUAAAAUAGUCCAAUAAAGAAAAACACAAAGCAAAAAUAUCUUACAGAUUAUAGAAAAUGAUGAAAGUAGUACAGGAAUGAGUGACAUUUGAAAUACUACGUUGAUGAAUGAGUGGGUGAAUGGAUGAAUGAAUGAAUAAAUCAGUGGAUAAGGUACAACACUGGAAUCUUUAGGAUUCAUUUUCUUACAGACAUGGAAUUAUUUCCCAGUCCUUGCACUUCAAGUCAGAGAAUCAUCAUGAUCCCACGGAACACCAGCCCAGCCCCCAGCAGGUGCUAUACUUUUGACGACAUGGAACACAAAUGGUUUACCGUGCAGUUCUCUUUUUUUCAGCAAACCUGCUGAACGUGGAUUUUGGAGUUGAGCCAAUUCAGGUUCCAACCCCUGAGCAGACAUCAACUGGAACUGGAAGCUUCACUCUCUGGGCCUCAGUUUCCUCUUCAUCCAAGGAGGAUAGUGCUCUGGGAUCCUAGGACAUAUGAGGGUUCCAUAAGACCUACCUUCCGUCUUCCCACCCUGACCAACUGAGAAACCUCAAGCUUUGGACUUGUCCAUGCUGCCCUCUAACCCUAGAUCACAGCUCUGAGUGUGAAUACUGCCAGCCUAGAAGAGAACAUUCAUGCUAGAUGCAGUGGCUCACACCUGUAAUCCCAGCACUUUGGGAGGCAGAGGUGAGUGGAUCACUUGAGUCCAGGAGUUUGAGACCAGCCUGAGCAACAUGGCAAAACCUCAUUUCUACAAAAAAUACCAAAAAAAAAAAAAAAUUAUCCAGGCAUGGUG